rnacentral:rRNA from 1 species
UACAGAGGUCCCAAGCGUUGUUCGGAUUCAUUGGGCGUAAAGGGUGCGUAGGCGGCUCGGUAAGUCGGGUGUGAAAUCUCGGAGCUUAACUCCGAAACUGCAUUCGAUACUGCCGUGCUUGAGGACUGGAGAGGAGACUGGAAUUUACGGUGUAGCGGUGAAAUGCGUAGAUAUCGUAAGGAAGACCAGUGGCGAAGGCGGGUCUCUGGACAGUUCCUGACGCUGAGGCACGAAGGUCAGGGGAGCAAACGGG